GUAAAAAGGUAAUGAUGUAAGAAUUUGCUAAAUAUUGAAUAUUGAAUUAAAGUUUUUAUAUGACAAGAGGGAAAAUAGAAUAAGGAAAUGUAAUGAUAGAUUGUUAUGGGAAAAAAAAAAGACAGAAAGGAUUUGCUGUGAAAAUUAAAAACUAAGAAACAAGAGAGGGGAGGUGGAGGAAGUCUAGAAAGGAAGUUAAUGGAGAUCGUAAAGAACUAUAUAUUUCUGUUUUUCUGAUUCUCUUUUUUUUUCUUUUUUGCGGCUGGGUUUUCUUUUCUUUUUCUUCAAUAUUUUUUUACUCCUUUUGUUAUUUUUCUAUUUUCAAUUUUUAUUUGGAAAUUUCCGUUGUUAUCCUUUGAAAAUUUAAUAAAUAUCAAUUAUAAAAAAAAAAAAAUAAUUAAUUGAAUCUUUCUCCACGAGGCUUGCCAAAUCAUGAAGUAGCUGGCAGUACUGCAGUGUUUCAUUCUUUCAUUGCACAGUGUGACACUGUGCCUUUAAUUGCCUAAUUACCUAAUGUAUUGUUGUGUGAGAACGGGAGCGAUUUCUAUAUCUCCUCCUCCUCCCCUCUGGUCCUUGCAUCUGGCUUUUGCUGAAGGAUACGGCUGCGUGAGUCAGCUCGUCGCUCUGUUGCCUUCUUAUCUUCUCGAUGCUGCUUUCCAGCCAGAGUCUGCUUCUGCUGUACUCUGCUACUACGGGCGAAGUUCCUCACCAUUCAGACAAAUGAGGGAGGGCGUUGGCCCAACAGUAGCAAGUAUAAGCAAAGAUGAGACGCUCACUUCACAUCUUCUGUAGCAGAGCGACAAAAGUCCUUUCAAAGUCCAAAUUCAAAUCUUUGUUGAAAAACAGGAAUGCUCCCGCUCAUGGCGUUGGCAUUGGAGAUUUUCCAAUUCGUGCAAUGCUAAACACCCAGCGCCCCUGCCUCCACUGUAGCGAGCAGCAGAUAUCGGAUGGCAUGUGCGCCCCAUCCCUGCAGGGUUCAACAGGGAUAAUUACCCCCAGAUUCACCUUGUUUAAUUGCACGACUAGGGUCCGGUGUCCUGGGAAAGCAGCCAAACGCCAUAGGCCAUCACACCGGAAGUCUUCUCCAAAGUCUUUUUAUAUUUUCUCUCUGAUAGUAAGAGCUGACUGUGAAAAGGAACUCUCUCAGAAGGGGUGGACCUUCAUUGGGGGUUUUAAGAAGAAGUUGGAUGGCCACCUGUCAUGGAUGCUUGAAAUGAGAUUUCUGGAGGGGCUGGACUAGAUUCUGAAUCUAUAAUUCUAUACUUCACCCUGGUGUGAGAUCUUAAAUUGACUUUUGAACAAGUGAAAUUUUAUACACAUUCCGUGUGCUGAUAUGCUUUCAACCCCGUAUGAAUUAUUUGGUGGGCCAUGAACGAAUCUUUUCCCACAUUCCAAACACUAAACCGUUUUCUCUCUUGUAUGGAUUCUUUGAUGGGAAGUGAGACUAUCCUUCCGACUGAAGCUCUUCUCACAUUCUGAGCACUGAUAGGGUUUCUCCCCUGUAUGAAUUCUUUGAUGAGAAGUGAGAUUCCCCUCCUGACUGAAGCGCUUCCCACAUUCUGAGCACUGAUAGGGUUUCUCCCCUGUAUGAAUUCUGUGAUGGUAAGAGAGUGCGGCACUUUGACUGAAGCUCUUUCCACAUUCCAAGCACUGAUAGGGUUUCUCACCUGUAUGAAUUCUUUGAUGGGAAGUGAGCUUGUGGCCCUCCCGGAAGCUUUUCCCACAUUCCAAGCACAUAUAGGGUUUCUCCCUGUAUGAAUUCUUUGAUGGGAAGUCAGAUGACCACUCUGACGAAAGCUCUUUCCACAUUCCAAGCACUGAUAGGGUUUUUUCCCCUGUGUGAACUCUUUGAUGGGAAGUCAGAUCACCACUCAGACGAAAGCUCUUUCCACAUUCCAAGCAGUGAUACGGUUUCUCUCCUGUAUGAAGUCUUUGAUGGGAAGUCAAAUCACCACUCAGACAAAAACCUUUUCCACAUUCGAAGCACUGAUAGGGUUUCUCCCCUGUAUGAAUUCUUUGAUGGGUAGUAAGACUUUCCUUCCGACUGAAGCCCUUUCCACAAUCCAAGCACUGAUAGGGUUUCUCGCCUGUAUGAAUUCUUUGAUGAAAAGUGAGAUUCACCCACUUACUGAAGCUCUUUCCACAUUCCAAGCACUGAUAGGGUUUCUCCCCUGUAUGAAUUCUUUGAUGGGAAGUGAGAUCACCACUCAGACGAAAGCUCUUUCCACAUUCCAAGCACUGAUAGGGUUUCUCCCCUGUAUGAAUUCUUUGAUGAGAAGUGAGAUUCCCCUCCUGACUGAAGCGCUUCCCACAUUCCAAGCACUGAUAGGGUUUCUCCCCUGUAUGAAUUUUGUGAUGGGAAGUGAGGUGACCCUUCCGAUUGAAGCUCUUUCCACAUUCCAAGCACUGAUACGGUUUCUCCCCUGUAUGAAUUCUUUGAUGAGAAGCGAGAUUCUGGCGGUGACUAAAGUUCUUCCCACAUUCCAAGCACUGAUACGGUUUCUCCCCUGUAUGAACUCUUUGAUGGGAAGUGAGAUUCCCCCAGUGACUGAAGCUCUUUCCACAUUCCAAGCAAUUAUAUGGUUUCUCCCCUGUAUGAACUCUUUGAUGCAAAGUUAGAUUACCCUUUCGAUUGAAGUUCUUUCCACAUACUCUGCACCGAUACAAUUUCUCCCUACUCUGUGUUCUUUCAUGUGAAGUCAGGGUAUUCCUUCGAAUGAAGCUCUUUCUUUGAUGGGAGGUGGACUGGGAACUCUGACGGAUCUUCUCUCCACACUCUGAAUAUUUAUAUGACUUCUCUGCUAUGGGGAUUCUGUUGUGCUCCCCUUGUUCUUCCCUUCUGAUUCAUCACCAUCUGCAAUGAAGAGAGAAGCUAAUUAGUCUCAGGAGGAAAUGGGAGCUCCAGAUUAUUGAACAAUGUUAAUGAAUGCUUGUGACAGAGGAAGAACUGAAGAGAAUGAGAUGUGAGGCCGUCCUAUAGGUUUCACUUCCUUAGUUGGCUGGUAUUAACUGAGAUAUUGCUUGGCUUUUAUCUGGGAUGGAUAUUUUUGUGGCUCAAUCAUGGAAUCCACUCCAUCUCCAAUCACAACAUGUUAUGAUCCAACAGGGAUCCUUACUGAGAGAGUCCAUGAUCCCACGAUUCUCCUCCUUGACUUCUCCUUGACCUCCCCUGUGUGAGUGCUUGAGGGCCCUGCUCUUGCCACUCACCAUCUGGCCCAAGGCAGGGCCUGACAGGCCUCACAACUACGGUUGCUGUUACUGCUGCUGCUGUCCAGAAGGACUCAGGGGGGCGCAGAGUUCUUUUUAAAAUGUUUUUUAAAAAUUCUUUUGAAUUUUUUGUAUGUGGGGGGUGGUGGUGGGGUGGGGUGGAUGUUUGGUUGGGCCUGGGAAUUUGUUUGAUUUUGGUGUUUUUUUGUUUUUAAAAGGUUUUAUUUUGUUCUUAAGGGGAGGGGUCAGGGCUGCCGGGGAGUGGGUCCCAGCCAACAAAAUGGCUGGAGCAUGUUCCACAGGGGGCGAUGCACUGGGACAACCGAUCUCAGUGAUCACGGGUAGGAGGAGGAGUUACACUAAGACCAGACCAUGUCGUUAGAGGAGGCAGGUGUAGUCGUUGUCUGAGGACUAUCCCUGCCUCCGGGUCUGGUCCUGACCGGAUGGAUACUAGAAUCAGCAAGGGAUACCCACAUGACCUGAAGGUGCUGCUGUGCAAUGCCAGGUCAAUGAUUCAUAAAACCACUGCCAUCCAUGACUUGAUCAUGGAUGGAGGACUUGACCUGGCAUGUGUAACAGAGACUUGGUUGGAUGAAGCAGAUGGGCCUGUCCUUGCCGCUGCUUGUCCACUAGGUUUCUCUUACGCACAGCAAUCCAGGCCUUGUGGGCGGGGGGGGGGCAGUGAUUUUUAGGAAGUCAUUAGUCUGCACCAAGCGUCCUAUUGGGAAGACUAGGUUCUCUGAGUGCAUGUUCUGGAAGUUGGGCAAUAGGGGCAGUACAGGAUUCCUUUUGGUGUACCGACCUCCCCGCUGCAACAAGGAUUCCCUGCCCGAGCUGCUUCAGGUCGUGGCGGAUAUGCUCCUGGAGACACCUAGUUUGGUUGUCCUGGGGGAUUUUAACAUCCAUGCCGACACGACCUUACAAGGGGCCGCUCGGGACUUCGUGGAAAGCAUGGCCUCCAUGGGGCUGUCCCUGAAAAAGUUUGGCCCAACUCAUAGCCGUGCACAUGCCUUAGACUUGGUGUUUACCUCUACGGAUGUUGGUGAUCUGACACUAACUAAAAGCGAAACAAAAGAAGUGCCAUGGUCAGAUCACUUCCUGGUGCAACUGGACUUCUCCGCGACCCUUCCCCUCUGCAGGGAGGUGGGACCGAUUCGGAUGGUCCGCCCCCGCCACUUAAUGGAUCCAAUUGGCUUCCAGAGAGUGGUAGGGGAUGUUUUUGUUACGAUAUGGAUACAACACAGCUGCAAACUGCUAGCUUGAUGUUGACAUCAUGUGAUGUGGCUAGCUGUGGGAAAGAAUCUUCCCGGAAGUUCACAGGCUACUCAAAGCUGUGUUCUGUGUGUAAUAUGAGACCUUCCUGUUGCGUUUGUAAAGGAAGUCUUUGCCACUUGCUAGAAGGAGACUGAAGCGAUCGGACACGUUUUCUGUAGAGCUGUAACGUCAGAAAUAAACAAGAUGU